rnacentral:rRNA from 1 species
UACGGAGGGUGCAAGCGUUAUCCGGAUUCACUGGGUUUAAAGGGUGCGUAGGCGGGCAGGUAAGUCAGUGGUGAAAUCUCCAAGCUUAACUUGGAACUGCCGUUGAUACUAUCUGUCUUGAAUACUGUGGAGGUGAGCGGAAUAUGUCAUGUAGCGGUGAAAUGCUUAGAUAUGACAUAGAACACCAAUUGCGAAGGCAGCUUACUACAGGGACAUUGACACUGAGGCACGAAAGCGUGGGGAUCAAACAGG